AGUCCAGACUCCUACGGGAGGCAGCAGUGGGGGAUAUUGCACAAUGGGGGGAACCCUGAUGCAGCGACGCCGCGUGGGUGAAGGAGUAUUUCGGUAUGUAAAGCCCUAUCGGCAGGGAAGAAGCAAGACGGUACCUGACUAAGAAGCCCCGGCUAACUACGUGCCAGCAGCCGCGGUAAUACGUAGGGGGCGAGCGUUAUCCGGAUUCACUGGGUGUAAAGGGAGCGUAGACGGCGGCGCAAGCCAGAUGUGAAAGCCCGGGGCUCAACUCCGGGACUGCAUUUGGAACUGUGUGGCUGGAGUGUCGGAGAGGCAGGCGGAAUUCCUAGUGUAGCGGUGAAAUGCGUAGAUAUUAGGAGGAACACCAGUGGCGAAGGCGGCCUGCUGGACGAUGACUGACGUUGAGGCUCGAAAGCGUGGGGAGCAAACAGGAUUAGAUACCCGCGUACA
rnacentral:rRNA from 1 species